UACGGAGGGGGCUAGCGUUAUUCGGAAUUACUGGGCGUAAAGCGCACGUAGGCGGACCAGAAAGUUAGGGGUGAAAUCCCGGGGCUCAACCUCGGAACUGCCCUUAAAACUCCUGGUCUUGAGUUCGAGAGAGGUGAGUGGAAUUCCGAGUGUAGAGGUGAAAUUCGUAGAUAUGCGGAGGAACACCGAUGGCGAAGGCAACCCCCUGGGCCUGUACUGACGCUCAUGCACGAAAGCGUGGGGAGCAAACAGG
rnacentral:rRNA from 1 species